GGGACAACCAGCCGAAAGGUUGGCUAAUACCGCAUGAGUUCUACGGAAGAAAGAGGGGGACCCGCAAGGGCCUCUCGCGAGCGGAGCGGCCGAUGACUGAUUAGCCGGUUGGUGAGGUAACGGCUCACCAAAGCAACGAUCAGUAGCUGGUCUGAGAGGACGACCAGCCACACUGGGACUGAGACACGGCCCAGACUCCUACGGGAGGCAGCAGUGGGGAAUUUUGGACAAUGGGCGCAAGCCUGAUCCAGCUAUUCCGCGUGUGGGAUGAAGGCCCUCGGGUUGUAAACCACUUUUGUAGAGAACGAAAAGACACCUUCGAAUAAAGGGUGUUGCUGACGGUACUCUAAGAAUAAGCACCGGCUAACUACGUGCCAGCAGCCGCGGUAAUACGUAGGGUGCGAGCGUUAAUCGGAAUUACUGGGCGUAAAGGGUGCGCAGGCGGUUGAGUAAGACAGAUGUGAAAUCCCCGAGCUUAACUCGGGAAUGGCAUAUGUGACUGCUCGGCUAGAGUGUGUCAGAGGGAGGUGGAAUUCCACGUGUAGCAGUGAAAUGCGUAGAUAUGUGGAAGAACACCGAUGGCGAAGGCAGCCUCCCGGGACAUAACUGACGCUCAGGCACGAAAGCGUGGGGAGCAAACAGGAUUAGAUAUCCUGGUAGUCCACGCCCUAAACGAUGUUAACUAGUUGUUGGGAAGUAAUAUUCUCAGUAACGCAGCC
rnacentral:rRNA from 1 species